UACGGAGGAUACGAGCGUUAUCCGGAUUCAUUGGGUUUAAAGGGUGCGCAGGCGGACCGGUAAGUCAGGGGUGAAAUACUGCAGCUCAACUGCAGCCGUGCCUUUGAUACUGCCGGACUGGAGUCCAAGGGGCGUGGCUGGAAUGUGGCGUGUAGCGGUGAAAUGCUUAGAUAUGCCACAGAACGCCGAUCGUGAAGACAGGCCGCGAACUUGGCACUGACGCUCAGGCACGAAAGCGUGGGUAU
rnacentral:rRNA from 1 species